rnacentral:rRNA from 1 species
GACGAACGCUGGCGGCGUGCUUAACACAUGCAAGUCGAACGAAGAGCGAUGGAAGCUUGCUUCUGUCAAUCUUAGUGGCGAACGGGUGAGUAACGCGUAAUCAACCUGCCCUUCAGAGGGGGACAACAGUUGGAAACGACUGCUAAUACCGCAUACGAUCUAAUCUCGGCAUCGAGGAUAGAUGAACGGUGGCCUCGACAUGUAAGCUAUCGCUGAAGGAGGGGGUUGCGUCUGAUUAGCUAGUUGGAGGGGUAACGGCCCACCAAGGCGAUGAUCAGUAGCCGGUCGGAGAGGAUGAACGGCCACAUUGGGACUGAGACACGGCCCAGACGCCUACGGGAGGCAGCAGGGGGGAAUCUGCCGCAAGAGACGAAAGUCUGACGGAGCAACGCCGCGUGAGUGAGGACGGCCGUCGGGUUGUAAAGCUCUGUUAAUCGGGACGAAAGGCCUUCUUGCGAAUAGUGAGAAGGAUUGACGGUACCGGAUUAGAAAGCCACGGCUAACUACGUG